rnacentral:rRNA from 1 species
AUGAUAUUCAAAACUUGCACAAUAAGGGUAAUCACUUCACCUUGGGUGGUUUUGGGAGACUUUAAUGAAAUCGUACUUUCUUCGAAAAAGGAGGGUGGCAAUGCGAGACCAAAUGCUAUGAUGUGAGAGUUUCGUAAUUGUUUGGGAGAGUGCGGUCUGGAAUACAUGGGAUGUAUUGGGGGUCCUUUCACUUGGAGGAGAGGUGAUAUUAUGGAGAGACUUGACCGUGCAGUUUGUAAUGUGGAAAGCACGAACAAAUUUCCUCGGACUACGGUCAUAAAUGAAGAACAUGUACACUCUAAUCAUCGUCCUCUCAUCCUGGAUACAUAA